AAAGAUUUGUACAUGAAUGUCCAGAGAACUUUAUUCAAGCAGCCAAAAGCUGGAACUAGCCCAGGCAGACGUCUAUCAACAAGAGAAUGAAUAAACAAAAUGUGCUACACACAUCGAAACGCUCCUCGGGAACUCCCAGGAUUGAACACUGAUACAGCCUGAUCACAAGGACUCUGAAGACGACCACACCAGGCAAAGCAGCCAGCAGCACAUCCAUGAUGGCUGAACCAUAAUAGUGGAGCCCAGAUCAGUGGUGGCCUCUAACUGCAGCGGAGGAAGUGGGAUUGGCAAGUCACACCAGGCAAGGACCACAGGAUGCCACCUUGCUAUGGAAGUUCAACUUUUCCUUAAUGAAGAUGCUGGUCUUGUUGAAGACUACUGACAAGGAUGCACAGCUCGCACUAUACUGAGAAGACAUGGAACCUUUUUUCCCUUUGCUGAAGCUGGACCCCUGGCCAGAUGUGUCAGCUGAAGGACAAGCCUCCCUUGCAUCAGGAAGCAUGUAGGUCGGAUCGGAUGCAAGGAAGUAGUCCCAAACAUGACGAGUGGCAUUAUUCAGGAAUUUCUUUCUUCUGUUGGAGACCAUAAGACCCAGCACCAACAGCAACAGGAAGAAUCUGACAGCUUAAUAUCACCCAGAUCGCCAGAGCUUGAAGGAAUUUUCAAGAUCUUCGAGAUAAAAUCCACUACUUCCUUCUCUGUCUCCGCAGCACUUUCUGCAGAUAACACAAUCUAUUAUAACUUACUGUCAUGCAUCUUCAACAAAUAAUAUACUUUAUCCACUGCUUCGUUCUUAAAGCAUGACAUCUAGCAUGAAGUAGAUUCUGAAUGAAAAUGCCCCCCAUAGGAUAUGGUGUCUUGUUGGAGUAGGUGUGCCACUAGGGGUGGACUUUGGGGUCUCAGAUGCUCAAGCCAGGUCCAGUGUCUCACUCUCUUCCUGCUGUCUGCUAAUCUGGAUGUAGAACUCACAGCUGGAGAGGUCUCCAGCACCAUGUCUGCCUGCAAGCCACCAUGCUACCUGCCAUGAUGACAACGGACUAAACCUCUGAACUGUA